CUGCGGGUGAGAGUCCCGCCUCGGUAGGCGCCGGAGCGCCGAGUAGCAGGCCCCGGGCGUCGGGAGAGAUCCCGUCGUCCCGAGCGGGGCGUCGAAAGCCCGUCAGGCAGCGAGAGCUGUGCAGCGGGGAGCAAGAUCGCGGGCCGCAACAUGA
rfam:Sandaracinus amylolyticus strain DSM 53668, complete genome.